CGGACGGGUGAGUAACGCGUGGGUGACCUGCCCCAUACCGGGGGAUAACAGCUGGAAACGGCUGCUAAUACCGCAUAAGCGCACAGAGCUGCAUGGCUCGGUGUGAAAAACUCCGGUGGUAUGGGAUGGGCCCGCGUCUGAUUAGGCAGUUGGCGGGGUAACGGCCCACCAAACCGACGAUCAGUAGCCGGCCUGAGAGGGCGACCGGCCACAUUGGGACUGAGACACGGCCCAA
rnacentral:rRNA from 1 species